CCUACGGGGGGCAGCAGUGAGGAAUAUUGGUCAAUGGGCGAGAGCCUGAACCAGCCAAGUCGCGUGAGGGAGUACUGCCCUAUGGGUUGUAAACCUCUUUUGUCGGGGAGCAAAAGCCGGACGUGUCCGGCUGUGAGAGUACCAGAAGAAAAAGCAUCGGCUAACUCCGUGCCAGCAGCCGCGGUAAUACGGGGGAUGCGAGCGUUAUCCGGAUUUAUUGGGGUUAAAGGGUGCGCAGGCGGAUUUUUAAGUCAGCGGUCAAAUCGUGGGGCUCAACCCCAUCCAGCCGUUGAAACUGGGGAUCUAGAGUGUGCGAGAGGUAUGCGGAAUGCGUGGUGUAGCGGUGAAAUGCAUAGAUAUCACGCAGAACCCCGAUUGCGAAGGCAGCAUACCGGUGCACAACUGACGCUCAGGCACGAAAGCGUGGGUAUCGAACAGGAUUAGAUACCCCUGUAGUC
rnacentral:rRNA from 1 species